AAACAACUCUCGGCAACGGAUAUCUCGGCUCUCGCAUCGAUGAAGGACGUAGCGAAAUGCGAUACUUGGUGUGAAUUGCAGAAUCCCGUGAACCAUCGAGUCUUUGAACGCAAGUUGCGCCCCAAGCCUUCUGGCCGAGGGCACGUCUGCCUGGGUGUCACAA
rnacentral:rRNA from 1 species